rnacentral:rRNA from 1 species
AGCGGGAAGAGCUCAAAUUUGAAAUCUGGUAGCCUUCGGUUGCCCGAGUUGUAAUCUAGAGAAAUGUUUUCCGUGCCGGCCCAUGUACAAGUCCCUUGGAACAGGGCGUCAUAGAGGGUGAGAAUCCCGUCCUUGACAUGGACCCCCGGUGCUUUGUGAUACAUUUUCAACGAGUCGAGUUGUUUGGGAAUGCAGCUCAAAAUGGGUGGUGAAUUCCAUCUAAAGCUAAAUAUUGGCGAGAGACCGAUAGCGAACAAGUACCGUGAGGGAAAGAUGAAAAGCACUUUGGAAAGAGAGUUAAACAGUACGUGAAAUUGUUGAAAGGGAAACGAUUGAAGUCAGUCAUGCUCUUUGGUAUUUAUAUCAUUGAGUGGGGUCAACAUCAGUUUUGAUCGAUGGAUAAAGGCGCUAGGAAGGUAGCACUCUCGGGUGAACUUAUAGCCUAGCGUCAUAUACAUUGAUUGGGACUGAGGAACGCAGCAUGCCUUUAUGGCCGGGAUUCGUCCACGUACAUGCUUAGGAUGUUGACAUAAUGGCUUUAAACGACCCGUCUUG